rnacentral:rRNA from 1 species
UACGUAGGGGGCAAGCGUUGUCCGGAAUCAUUGGGCGUAAAGAGCGUGUAGGCGGCCAGAUAAGUCCGCUGUGAAAUCUCGAGGCUCAACUUCGAGCUGUCGGUGGAAACUGUCUGGCUAGAGUCCGGAAGAGGAGAAUGGAAUUCCUGGUGUAGCGGUGAAAUGCGCAGAUAUCAGGAAGAACACCAACGGCGAAGGCAGCUCGCUGGGACGGUACUGACGCUGAGACGCGAAAGCGUGGGGAGCGAACAGG